UGCUGCUCUAAAGAUCAUGGAGAAUGGGAGACUGGAGAAGGCAAAAUUUCCAAUUAAAAAAAAAGUUAGUAGAAUGAACAAAAUAUAGGCCAGUGAGAUUGAUUUAAUUCAUGACAACAUUAUCAAAGAUAUUAUUUUAAGGAUGGUUUCUGAAUAUCUAGAAAAUACAGCAGUAAUCAACAACUGGGAAGCAGCAUGAUUUCAUCAGAAAAGUUGCAAGAGAAGAGAAGAGAAAGAGGGAGGAGUUAUAGAAAAUUAUAAACAAUCACAUAAUGCAAAUGUGAAGAUGCUGGGAUAUACAAAAGAAAUUCUGGGGCACAAAGUUCAAAGGAAGAAAGAAAAUUAGGGAGGAAGAGAAAGAAGAAGGAAGAG
rnacentral:lncRNA from 1 species